rnacentral:rRNA from 1 species
AAACUUCCACCACCGAACCUCUGGGUCCCCCCUUCAAUAAAAAACGAACCAAAUGGCAAUAAGAAAGGGAAAUGGCAAAUCCCCUGAAACCAUGAAAUUUUGAAACCCCCUUGGCCCCCUGAACAAUCCCCAGGGGAUGGCCGGUUGAACCGCAUUUUCC